AGUCUAGUGGCGAACGGGUGCGUAACACGUGAGCAACCUGCCGUGAAGUGGGGGAUAGCUCGCCGAAAGGCGAAUUAAUACCGCAUGUGGCCAGGAAGGACAUCCUUCCGACGCCAAAGCCGGGGCAACCUGGCGCUUCUCGAGGGGCUCGCGGCCUAUCAGCUUGUUGGUGAGGUAACGGCUCACCAAGGCUAUGACGGGUAGCUGGUCUGAGAGGACGGCCAGCCACACUGGAACUGAGACACGGUCCAGACACCUACGGGUGGCAGCAGUCGAGAAUUUUUCACAAUGGGGGAAACCCUGAUGGAGCGACGCCGCGUGGAGGAUGAAGGUUUUCGGAUUGUAAACUCCUGUCAUUAGAGAACAAGGCACACGGUUUAACUGGCCGUGUGUUGAUAGUAUCUGAAGAGGAAGAGACGGCUAACUCUGUGCCAGCAGCCGCGGUAAUACAGAGGUCUCAAGCGUUGUUCGGAUUCAUUGGGCGUAAAGGGUGCGUAGGUGGCGAUGUAAGUCGGAUGUGAAAUCUCCAAGCUUAACUUGGAAACUGCAUUCGAUACUGCGUUGCUAGAGGACUGUAGAGGGCAUUGGAAUUCACGGUGUAGCAGUGAAAUGCGUAGAUAUCGUGAGGAAGACCAGUGGCG
rnacentral:rRNA from 1 species